AUGCUGCCUGUGCCAUCUUGGACUACAAGUGACAGCGCUGACAGUACAUGGGCUGCCACCUCUCAGGAGGGGACAGCUUGGACAGGGGGCACUUUAGAGAACAGAAACAAACUUGAAGUCAGCGAAGGAGAUUUCCCUGAGAAAUCAACAGAAGGGUUUACGCCUCCUGAAAAAAGAAGCAAUGCACAAAGCACAGAUGCACUGCUCACCAGUGGGUUCAUCAGUAAAUCAAGGCCUUUACAAGAAACGGAGAGACAAAAAUCAUCAGACAUUCUUGAGGAGCUGAGGAUGCAGGGAAUAAUCAGGAGCCAAAGUACUACUGCUGGGACUGGAGAAGCAUAUGAAAACAAGAGAGAUGCCCUGAAAAAGAUGCCGAAGAAACCACCAGUUAGGCUGGAAAAAAUGUGGUUUGGAAGCAAGGAAGUGAAUGAUUUCACAGCAAAGGACAUGAAGACUGCUGAAGAGAAAAAACAGGUCAUCUGA
rnacentral:lncRNA from 1 species